UACGUAGGGGCCUAGCGUUGUCCGGAAUUAUUGGGCGUAAAGAGCUCGUAGGCGGUUCGGCAAGUCGGAUGUGAAAUCUCCAACGCUUAACGUGGAGGGGCCAUUCGAAACUGCUGUGACUCGAGUCCGGUAGGGGAGUGUGGAAUUCCCGGUGUAGCGGUGAAAUGCGCAGAUAUCAGGAAGAACACCCGUGGCGAAGGCGGCUCUCUGGGACGGUACUGACGCUGAGACGCGAAAAGCGUGGGGAGCGAACAGG
rnacentral:rRNA from 1 species